rnacentral:rRNA from 1 species
UACGGAGGUGCAAGCGUUAUUCGGAAUGACUGGGCGUAAAGAGCGCGUAGGCGGGUCACUAAGUCGAUUGUGAAAUCCCGGGCUUAACCUGGGAAUUGCAGUCGAAACUGGAAAUCUUGAAUGCUUGAGAGGGUGGUAGAAUUCCUGGUGUAGAAGUGAAAUUCGUAGAUAUCAGGAGGAACACCGGAGGCGAAAGCGGCCACCUGGCAAGACAUUGACGCUAAAGUGCGAAAGCGUGGGUAGCAAACAGGAUUGAAACCCCGGUAGUCCCUAAGACUGCCAAGGCACACA